rnacentral:rRNA from 1 species
GCUAUCCAGCAAUGGGUAGUUUUGUCCAGAUAGUUUACUUUAGAAAAAUUAGAGUGUUCAAAGCAGGCAUAAUUGGCAUCAUGAAUACAUUAGCAUGGGAUAAUAGAAUAUGACAUUGGUCUUAUUUUGUUGGUUUCUAAGGCCAAAGUAAUGAUUGAUAGGGAUAGUUGGGGCCGCUCGUAUUGAGUUGUCAGAGGUGAAAUUCUAGGAUUUACUCAAGACGAACUAAUGCGAAAGCAUUCGGCAAGGAUGUUUUCAUUAAUCAAGAACGAAAGUUGGGGGAUCGAAGAUGAUCAGAUACCGUCGUAGUCUCAACCAUAAACUAUGUCAACCGAGGAUCCGGUAGCGUUACAUGGAUGACCUUCCGGGCACUCUGUGAGAAAUCAUAAGUAUUUGGAUUUCGGGGGAGUAUGGUCGCAAGGCUGAAACUUAAAGGGAUUGACGGAAGGGCACCACCAGGAGUGGAAUCUGCGGC